rnacentral:lncRNA from 1 species
GACAAUGAAGACUGAGGUGUCUGCUUUGCAGUUUUUUUUUUUCUUUUCUUGUCUUUUUUUUUUUUUUUCCUAAUCAUGUGGACAUCUCUGAGAAUGAGGGGACUGGGUGACUUUGCAGUGUCUGCUUUCUAAGUUUCAAAGUGACUUUCCAGGCAAGCUGCGCAUAUCUUGGGAUCUUCACAGCACAGUGGCUGGGAAGGCAGGCGGACCCGUCUAUCAGCUUCUCCCUGGUGGGAUUCUUGCGGGGGCAGGGAUCGAGUCAAACCUUGGAAAUGACGUCAUUCUGAACUCAUCUGCCUUUAUCCAGAAGACUACCAAAGCAAACCAGAGGACCAGAGAACAGCAGCUGCUCUGGACAAAGAGGGGAGGACACCCACACCCACAUACCAAGUUCUGGUUGACUUCUACAGCAGAAGAAGCAGGAGACACAAGAAGGAUUCAUAGUUGUCCUGCCAAAAAGAAUCUCUGACUCCAAGGAUGUUUUCUCAAGGGAUUCCCGCCCGCACUGCCAGUUACCAUCAGCAGGACUCCUGACUGCCUGACUCCACUCCAUUUCUCAUGGAAGCCAGAAGGUAGUGCAGGCUGUCCCCACCCCCAGGGUGACAAAGCUGUGAUGAGGAGCCACCCCAGAAGAGGGAACUGGCACCUCAGCCUGAGAACUGGCCCUAUGGCUAACCGAGUAGAGGAAGCUUAAUUCUUUCUUUUUUAAUUUUGCAUUUUAUUUUAAAUUUUUAUUAUUAAAAUACAACAAACAUAUCAAUAA